rnacentral:sRNA from 1 species
GGGUGUGGUGGUGCACGCCUGUAAUCCCAGCAACUCAGGAGGCUGAGGCAGGAGGAUCAGCGUAUUAGCAAUCCUUAGUAACUCAGCAAGAUCCUGUCUCUA